rnacentral:siRNA from 1 species
UGAGCCCUUCUUGAUGAUGUUCAG